GGGUAGUCUUAGACAGUCCUCACUUGUAGAUGGUCUUCUCCAUAUGUUGCAUUGUCUUCCUUCUGUAUAUAUUUAACUGUGUCUGAGUUUCUUAUUUUUCCAAGGACAUUGCUCAUACGGGAUGGAUUAGAGCCUACUUCCUCUGAUCUCGAUCAUAUGCACAGAUCCUGUUUACAAAUACAAAGAAUUUAUUUUUCAAAUAAAGAAGUUGAAGCCUUGAGAAGCAAGUGAUUUGAAAAAGAAUAUAGCAGCAGUUAGUGCCAAGGGAGGACUGCAUGACUGGUGAAGAAGACUUUGCACUCCCAUCAUCAAAUCCAUGAGCAUCCAU
rnacentral:lncRNA from 1 species